UAAUAUAAAACGUUUUGAAUUGAUAAAUUGAAUUGACUUCAAUUAUUAUAUAUGUAAUAAGGCCCAAUUGGCCCAGACCAUUACAAAACAAAAAUAAACUAAACUUAGGCCCACACCCUAACUACCGAAACCCUAAACAGAAAAUUCUUGGCUGCCGCCUCCAGCAGUCCAGUCGCCGCACGACUCGGGGACAGGGUCCCUCUCCGCGCGAGUUGCGCGCCUUCCUCGCCUCGCCUUGUACCUGCAGCAACAAAUGCGAACAGAAUAGCAAAAAUCACGCCAAUAAGAACAUAAUAGAUUUUCUAUUCGUUUGAUUUGGUUCAUUUUUCCUUUUCCAUUUCGGCUAUUUAAAGCCGUGGAAAAUCUGUAAAAAGGGGGGAUUUCAGUGAAAAAAUACGAAAAUCCUGACAAACAUAGUCGAAUACUGAUACGAGAGAUAACACUGAAUACAAAGAUUUGCUUUUUAGGUGAACUACGUUUUUAUUUUCUUAUUUUAUUUUGUUUUGUUUUAUUUUUCAACAAGAAUAAAAGGGGAAAAGAGAAACUGACCUUGCCUUGCCGCGUUCUGCUCCUUCCUCCGUCUCGAUCGGAGGCUAGGACGGCAAUUGAAGCCGCGGCGUGGGGGUUCUUGAAAACGGCGGCGGCUGAAUGUGGGAACCCUAGCAGAGGAUGCUAGGGUUCAUAAGUUUGUUUUUGUUGAAA
rnacentral:lncRNA from 1 species